AUGUGUGACUCCCAAUAUAUGCCAGUUAAGCGCCAUUUGAAACCAUCCUCCUCCUUCACAACUGCAUCAAUGUGCAUAUGCCCCAUCCAUCUUACCAUAACAUUUAUGCCCCGUCUCCAGACCAAUGUCAAACCAUCGCUCUUCCCAUCUUUGAUUUUCUACUCUCAUCUAUACGAAGUUGUGGAAGGACAACAGCAGUUGGUGGGCAAAUUUCAAGCAAAAGCAUUUGAUGCAAAAGGGUUGAUAUUUUCUUCUUCCUCUUCUGUUUUUGCCAGCGGUUUUGAAUUUGGUUUUGUGUGUUUUCUUGUUAUAGCCCAAACCCGUAUAUGGCAAUUGUAUGAGUGA
rnacentral:rRNA from 1 species